rnacentral:rRNA from 1 species
CCUACGGGAGGCAGCAGUGGGGAAUAUUGGACAAUGGGGGGAACCCUGAUCCAGCCAUGCCGCGUGUGUGAAGAAGGCCCUCGGGUUGUAAAGCACUUUCAGUGAGGAAGAACGCCUGGUGGUUAAUACCCAUCAGGAAAGACAUCACUCACAGAAGAAGCACCGGCUAACUCCGUGCCAGCAGCCGCGGUAAUACGGAGGGUGCGAGCGUUAAUCGGAAUUACUGGGCGUAAAGCGCGCGUAGGUGGCUUGAUAAGCCGGUUGUGAAAGCCCCGGGCUCAACCUGGGAACGGCAUCCGGAACUGUCAAGCUAGAGUGCAGGAGAGGAAGGUAGAAUUCCCGGUGUAGCGGUGAAAUGCGUAUAGAUCGGGAGGAAUACCAGUGGCGAAGGCGGCCUUCUGGACUGACACUGACACUGAGGUGCGAAAGCGUGGGUAGCAAACAGGAUUAGAUACCCGUGUAGUC